ACCCAACUGAAGAGUCCGAAAUAGGACGAAACGCGCGUCCUGGAU
rnacentral:hammerhead_ribozyme from 1 species